GUCUAUGACCAUGCUAUCCUGAAUAAGCCCGAUUCCCGUCUGAUCAUUGUAAGCUAACCAAGGGCGAGCCUCAUUAGUACUUGGAUGGGAGACCACCCUACAUGACCAGGUGCUGUAGGCA
rnacentral:rRNA from 1 species